AUCUUUAAACCAGUUCAUGGUUGACUGAUAGCACAAAGAGAUUCUUAGCAUCUUGUCAAGAUACAUACCUCAGGGUCUUUGUAUGGGUAAAGAAUAUAGAAAAGGUUGCUAAGAAUACUGCUGGUCUUCUUGAGUCUUAUCUGAGAAGAUACAUGGUCCCUAUCACUGGAUUCAUCUCAGCUUCCUAGCAUAAACCCUAGUGCCUCUUCUGGAAACGAAACUACCUUCUCUGGCGGAGGAGGACCGGCACCAGUAACAACUCCAGAGCCGGACCAUGUUCCCAAAGCCGACAGCACUGACAUCAGAUCUGAAGAGCCUCUGAAAACAGACAGUUCGGCAUCAAAUAGCAAUAGUGAACUGAAAGCCAUCAGGCCUCCUUGCCCUGACACGGCCCCACCCUCCUCCGCCCUGCACUGGUUGGCAGAUUUAGCAACUCAGAAGGCUAAAGAAGAGACAAAAGAAGCAGGGUCCCUGAGGUCGGUGCUCAAUAAAGAGUCUCAUUCACCCUUUGGGCUGGACUCGUUCAACUCCACUGCAAAG
rnacentral:sRNA from 1 species